UCACUGGAAGACUAGUGCUUAGGCCAUGGCACUCUCACUGCCGGCAGCCCAGGUUGAAUUCCUGGCUAGGGAA